ACACUGCUGAAGAGUCCAAAAUAGGACGAAACAGCUGUUUAGUGC
rnacentral:hammerhead_ribozyme from 1 species